rnacentral:rRNA from 1 species
GACCAGACUCCUACGGGAGGCAGCAGUGAGGAAUAUUGGUCAAUGGCCGAGAGGCUGAACCAGCCAAGUCGCGUGAGGGAAGAAUGUCCUAUGGAUUGUAAACCUCUUUUGUCAGGGAGCAAAGUCACCCACGUGUGGGUGUUGGAGAGUACCUGAAGAAAAAGCAUCGGCUAACUCCGUGCCAGCAGCCGCGGUAAUACGGAGGAUGCGAGCGUUAUCCGGAUUUAUUGGGUUUAAAGGGUGCGCAGGCGGAAUGUCAAGUCAGCGGUAAAAUUUCGGGGCUCAACCCCGUCGUGCCGUUGAAACUGGCGUUCUUGAGUGAGCGAGAAGUAUGCGGAAUGCGUGGUGUAGCGGUGAAAUGCAUAGAUAUCACGCAGAACUCCGAUUGCGAAGGCAGCAUACCGGCGCUCAACUGACGCUCAUGCACGAAAGCGUGGGUAUCGAACAGGAUUAGAUACCCGAGUA